UACAGAGGGUGCAAGCGUUAAUCGGAAUUACUGGGCGUAAAGCGUGCGUAGACGGUUAUGUAAGUCGGGUGUGAAAGCCCCGGGCUCAACCUGGGAAUUGCAUUCGAGACUGCAUAGCUAGGGUGCGGAAGAGGGAAGCGGAAUUUCCGGUGUAGCGGUGAAAUGCGUAGAUAUCGGAAGGGACACCAGUGGCGAAAGCGGCUUCCUGGUCCAGCACCGACGUUCAGGCACGAAAGCGUGGGGAGCAAACAGG
rnacentral:rRNA from 1 species